AUCAACCAAGUCUUCAGAGGAGCCAUGUUUAAAACUUGAUCUUCUGGGCUUCUCUGCAAAGCAUCAAGAGAUCAAAGGAGACCACCAAAAGUUCUGUAAAGCAACCCAAACUUACAACUGGUUUUGCAGAAUUAUCAAAGCAUGAAGGUGGUGGUGGGCCAUUCAUAUGAGGAAGAGAGAGAGAAGAGGCAUCACAAAAUAUCAGAAAACAACUGCACAGCCCACGUGGUGGAUCAUGACAGCAGUCAAGUGAAUAACUCAAGAAGGGGAAGCUUUGCAGAAUAUUGAUUUAAUGCUGCAUUCAUGCAGGGAGGAUGCUCACCCACAUUACGCACGCUCUAAUACUCCCCAGCAUACCUUGGGCCUUUGGUUUUCCGAGCCACUCUGAGAAAAAAGAGGCUGGAACAUUCCUCUCGCAUGAGCAUUUAAGCACAAUUCAGUGUCUCCGAAUCGAAGCGUGAACUGAAUCGAUCAAAAUCCAAAGAAUAGUGUCUCCUGUGGUGAAAUGCCAUGUGAUUAGCGCUCAUUUUGUGGAAAAUAGGGUGUAACUGAGUAAACAAGAUGGCUUUAUGAAGCAUCCCGAUGAAUUGUUGUGCAAUACUGUGUUUAAUGGCAUGUGGAACAUUUAUUAAAUUAAAAUAACUCGGAGUGAAGGAUAUAUGUGAAUGGAAGUGGCUUACAGGUGCACAAACAAACGGGUAUCUUACGAAGAAUGCGUCAGUCUUGAGAAUAA